rnacentral:rRNA from 1 species
UAGGGAAUCUUCCACAAUGGACGCAAGUCUGAUGGAGCAACGCCGCGUGAGUGAAGAAGGUUUUCGGACCGUAAAGCUCUGUUGUUGGUGAAGAAGGAUAGAGGUAGUAACUGGCCUUUAUUUGACGGUAAUCAACCAGAAAGUCACGGCUAACUACGUGCCAGCAGCCGCGGUAAUACGUAGGUGGCAAGCGUUGUCCGGAUUUAUUGGGCGUAAAGCGAGCGCAGGCGGAAGAAUAAGUCUGAUGUGAAAGCCCUCGGCUUAACCGAGGAAUUGCACCGGAAACUGUUUUUCUUGAGUGCAGAAGAGGAGAGUAGAACUCCAUGUGUAGCGGUGGAAUGCGUAGAUAUAUGGAAGAAUACCAGUGGCGAAGGCGGCUCUCUGGUCUGCAACUGACGCUGAGGCUCGAAAGCAUGGGUAGCGAACAGGAUUAGAUACCCUGGUAGUCCAUGCCGUAAACGAUGAGUGCUAAGUGUUGGGAGGCUUCCGCCUCUCAGUGCUGCAGCUAACGCAUUAAGCACUCCGCCUGGGGGAGUACGACCGCAAGGUUGAAAC